rnacentral:rRNA from 1 species
AGGGAGCAAGCGUUGUCCGGAAUUACUGGGUGUAAAGGGAGCGUAGGCGGGAGGAUAAGUUGAAUGUGAAUUCUGUGGGCUCAACCCACAGCUGCGUUCAAAACUGUUCUUCUUGAGUGAAGUAGAGGCAGGCGGAAUUCCUAGUGUAGCGGUGAAAUGCGUAGAUAUUAGGAGGAACACCAGUGGCGAAGGCGGCCUGCUGGGCUUUUACUGACGCUGAGGCUCGAAAGCGUGGGUAGCAA